GAUUACACGAAACGAUAAGUUGUGAUAGAUGAAUUUGACCAAAUUUCCAUUCCCCCGCGUGUUCGGGAACCAACCCCCAACCAAAACGGGCCUCGCUGCUCCUACGCUGUCACGGCGGCUAUAUGCCCCUUCUCCAACCUUUUCUUUUUUUUUUUUUAGUUUUUAUUUUAUUUUUUCCCAGACCCAAAAAAGAUUUAAAAAGGAAAAAUCGUAUGUUCUUCCUCACAAUAAUUCUAAAAAAGAAAAAUAAAAUUCAAUUUCGUGCUUCCGUGAUUUCCGAUUUCCUUAUGGGACGAAAAUUUCAAAAUUUUUAAUUUGAACUGAUUAGAUUUUUCUAGGGUUUGAAUUCGAGGGGGGGGCUUUGGUGGAAUUUUGAGAUUGUAUUAGGGUUGGCGAUAUGAAGAUAGAGGUAACGGGUUCGAGCAACGAAUCGUUAGCGAUGGAAGUGGGGGAGAUGAAGAUAAAAGUUGUGGAAGAGCAAGAUCAGUUUCGCGUUAAGCGGAAGACUUUGCAAGCUGUGCUGGAACAAUGCCAGAGAGCUCUCGAAUUGCUUAGUAACAACGAAGUUGGAAUCGAUGAUGACGAUGAAGAUGACGUGGAUCCUCAAGGGGAACUCUGCGGUCUGGGCCUUCGAAGAGAUCAAGAGGCCGACGAGUUGUGUGAUCUUCCCAAAUCUAGAGUUCGAUGCUCUGACUUCCUCAAAAAGCUAGAGUGUGCUCAGGUGCCAGUUCCAGAAAACAUUGCUGAAGAAGGUAGUUCUUGGGACAUGGUCAAUGAAAAUGAUCUUUGGGAAGACGAAGUUGUUGAUUUGGAUCAAGAAGAUUAUGUUCUUGUUAGGCAGGAAGAUAUAGUAGAAGGCAUUGCUUGUUUUAUGGCUGCAUAUUUGCUGUCCCUUAAACAGACUAAGGAUUGGACUCCCAAUCAACUUCAGGAAGCACUAAGCAAGACCUUCUCUGUAAAAGAGAAAAAAGGAAAGCUUCGAAAAGCAUGGGAUGGAAGUAAAGUCAUUUAUAAUGUGGCAUCCUGGGGGGCAACUGCAAUUGGGAUAUACCAAACCCUUUACUUCUAAGAACUGCCUCAAAAGCCUUCUGGACUUCUUGUCAUGUUAUAUCAAAGCUUCUCUGAUUUCCUUGCUCUACUUGGUGAACAGAGUGAUACUGGAAUUCACUGUUUUCGUGAUCAGCAUAUGCAAAUGCCCUAGGUAGUAAUGGAUGUCUAACAUUUGCUUUUGUGGACUCUUCUCUGAUAGCUAGAUUUUGGGGUUGGAUUAAAGUGUUGAAUGUGUUCAUCUUGCUUUCAAAUCUUUUGAUAAUUUGUCGUUCACGACUUUGGAAAAAGUAUGACAAGUUCUUCAUUUGAGAUCUACUUUGAAGUGUGAACAUGUCUGAAAUUCUUGUCUGUGGCUUCCAUUUUUACAAAGACAACAUCACCAAAGUUUGAAAGAGGUAAGUUAAUGGCAUGAUCUUGAAUUUUAUAUGUCAUCUAGUAGUAAAUGAUUGCCUGGAGUCCUUUCAUCUUAGUACCUACAAUCUGCAUUUGAACUUUCAAAACAUCUAACAGUGUUGGAUUAUGAAGAGACAUAUUAUAAUUUGGGAAGACUGUGAAGAAGACAGUUCUUGCAUUGAGUUUCAUCUCAAUUAUGUCGAGUAUUGCAUGCUUGUAUCAUUUGAAUCUUGUGUUUAACAAGGUCAUUUUGAUACAUAUAGGAAUACUAUUUCUACCAUGAAAGGUCAAAGCUAUUUUGAUAGCACCAAAAUAGAUGUGAGUAUAUCUUUGUUCUGACCAUUAUUGAAAAAUUCUUCUGGGAUUUAAAAAGUAACAAAAUUCUCUUGAGUUUUUGCUGGAAGAAUACAUUGAUCAAAGUUUGUGACUUGAACAUAUUCUUUUGAAACUUGAUAUUUUAGUUUUAAAAAGGUUUUUAGAGAACUAGUAAUAGAAGUGAAAGAGUUUAAGAAAGCUAUAUAAAGAUUUACAAUAGGAAUAACUGUUUGAUGGAUUUUUUUUUUUAGAUGUAAUCUACUUCAUACAAGAAUUUUAACUUAAAAAGAAGACUUUUUAAGUACAAGAGAAGAAGGAAAAAGAUAAACUAAAAGAAGAUCUAGAAGUGGAAGGUUGAGAACUAGAAUUACUAAUAGUAGAUAAAUUCAUGAAAAUAAAACUCUCUUUUGGCUUUUCCUAUUCAACUCAAUAAUCAAGAAAUAGAAACAAGAAUUUCUUCUCUUUAUUCAGAAUUGCUCUUUGAUACCAUUCUAAAAAGCAAGGUAGAGAUGUCCUAGAGUAGUGUAACUGACAGGUUCAGUUUCGAGUUCUCUGGGGAUUGAGUUUUAACAAAAUUACCUGCAACAUAGCGAAGGUUCAGUUGCCUUAACAAGAUAAUACUAAACAUAAAUAGUUUAUAGAACAGACAUAUAACUAAAGUAUUUUAGUUGAUGUUUAAGACUCUGGUACCCUUUUGGCUUAAUGUCGAAUUGGUGUUCUGACUUUUGUGGAGAUAUCUUUCACUACAAUAGCUUAUUUCAGUAAGAUUUUGGUAUAAUAAUUUUUUUUUUUGGUUGAAAUAAUGGAUCAAUGAUCUAUUUGAUAAUUGUACAAGAAUUUUUAAUGCAGAGGAUCCAUAAUACUAUGGUAACUAUAGAGUAUACUUGUAUUACUGCAAAUCAUGAAACAAAUAGAAGAAAUAUGAAUUUGAAAGUUUAAUUAUAGAAAAAGAAGGUAGAAAUUAUCCAACGAGAAGAGAGUUUUUAGUCAAACACAUUUUAUAAUAAAGAUUUCUUACAAAGAGAAAUUUCUUGAAGAAGCUUAACUUGUUCCUUCUAGAAAAAAGAGCAAACAAUUUAUACAUAAAAAAGUAAAAAAAUAGUAACCUAAUAAAAUCAUGUUAUGAUUAAAGUCAUGACCUUACAAAUGACUUGACAUAAAGUUAUCUUAAUAAAGUUACUUUAAAAAAAUAGCUUUAAAAAAGUAGACAUGACUCUAAAAUAGAUAUAAUGUAGAUUUAACAUAAAGUAAACUUAACAUAAAGUAAACUUGACAUAAAGUAGACUGGACAUAAAGUAGAUUUAACAUAAAGUAAACUUAAAGCUGAUGUAAAGUUUGGUGAGAUGUCAACAUCAACUUUAGAGUCUUCUGAAAAGCAUAUGAAAAGUAUUAUCACAUAUAAUUAUACAUAAUUAGACUAAAAUAGAGGAGUUUUUUGUCUGGAGUACCAUGAGUGGAUUUCUAAUUUACCAUUCUAACAAGCAGAAUUUCUAAUAAAAAGGGUAGAGAUGUCUUAGACUCACUUAAUUGAUGGGUUUAGUUUCAAGCUUUCCGGGGAUGGAGUCUUAACAAAAUUACCUACAACAUAUCGGAAGAUCGAUUGCCCUAACAAGAUAAUACUAAAUAUAAGCAGUUCAUAGAUCAAAUAUAUAACCAAGGUAUUCUAGUCAAUGUUCAAGACUCUGACGCCCUUUUGGCUUAACGUUGAACUGGUAGCUUGACUUUUAUGAAAAUAUAUCUUUCAUUACAGUAGCUUAUUUUAGUAAAAUCUUGGUACUUAAUUUUUUUUUGUUGAAAUAGUGGAUCAAUGAUUUUUUAACAAUUCUACAAGAAUUUCUGAUGUAGAAGAUUCAUAAUACUAUUACAACUGCAGAGCAUACUUAAUUUGUAUCAUUAUAAAUCAUAGAAUAGAUAGAAAAAAUAUGAAUAUGAAACUUUAACUAUAGAAGAAUGAUGAAAGAAUUACCAAAGAAAAUAUAGUUUUUAGUCAAAUAUAUUUUAUAAGAAAAUUAUUACAAAGGGAAACUUCUUGAAGAGGCUUAACUUGUUUUUUUUUUUUUUUAGAAGGAUCACAUAAUUUAUACAUAAAAAAAGUAAAGAAAUAGUAACCUAAUAGGAUCAUGUCAUUAUUAAAGUCAUGAUCUUACAAAUAACUCGACAUAAAGUUACUUUAAUAAAGUUACUUUAAGAAAGUAGCUUUAAAAAAAUAGACAUAACUCAAAAGUAGACAUAAAAUAGAUUUGACAUAAAGUAGACUUGACAUAAAGUAGACUUGAAGUUGAUAUAAAGUCUGAUGAGGCAUCAACAUCAACUUUGGAGUCUUUUGAAAAGUAUCUAGAGAGCAUUAUCACACAUAAUUAUAUAUAAUUGGAUUGAAACAAAGAAUCCCUUCUAGAGCAUCAUGAGUGGAUUUCUGACUAGAUUAGCAUCAUUUGUAAGAACUAUGAGUGUGUUCUAAAAAGAGAUUAAGGUAGAAAUUAUCUGCAUCUUGUAAAUAAGGUCAUACGCAUGUCUUUCAAUUGUCUUUUUUGUAAUGAUCUGUUGAAUUUCAAAAGAAAGGUUAUAAAUUGAGAAUAUUGGUUGAAAAUUUGGAUAUGGAACAAAGGGUUUAUAUUUUAGGCUAUAAAGACAAAAUAAAAAAAAUUAGUUAGUGUUUGAAGAACAGGGUCAUAAGAAGGUGAAAGUAAAGAUAAAGAGGUCAUCAUAGAAAUGACUGAAAUAAUUUGCAGGGAGUUUGAUGGAGGUUUAGGAGGAGACCAAGUUAGCAUGUUUGGAAAGAUGUUGUCUCUGCUUUUUGUAUAUACUAUGGUGAAAGAAUAUUUUGAGAACCACUGAGAAAGUUUGAGUAACUGUGUAUUUGGCAUCUGUUUCUUCUUGAAAUUAAGCAUUUGAUCAAAAGCUGACAUAUUCAAUUCCAUAAGAAAGUGGUAUCUAAUGAGGUGAAAUUCAAAUUUUUGGAUUUUAUAUUUUACAUUUAAAAUUUUUUUAGUGUAAAGUGGUAAUAGAGUAUCGAAUUUUUGAAUCUAUCACUUUUAUAAUCACAUAUCUGUCUGUUCCAUCUUUGUCUUUUAAAAUGAUUGUUGAUCAAAAUUUAUCGGUUGCAUCUGUCUGCAAUAUCUUUUUUUUAUCUGAAAAAAUCUUAAAGUAAGAAGUGACUGUGCUUUUAUCUUUAAUGUUUGUACUAUUUUUGUCUGUAUCUGGGACUACUUGGGAAGCUCUUUCUUUAACAUUUGUCUGAGAGGGUGAGUUAACUGUGCAAGAUUUAAAAGAAAUUCACUCAUGUAAUUUACUACACUGAGGAAUGUUGUACUUACUUUUUGAAAAGAUUUUCAUUAGGAAAAUCUACAUGUGUCUUAGUAAUGACGAAGAUAUUUACUCUCAUCCUUGAUAAUGCAUUAAUUUACAUUGAAGAUAUCUUACUGUUCUCUUCAGAUGUCACAUCUUACAUACAGUUAUUGGAUAAGUUUCAGCAAAUUGUUUAGUAGUAUGAGAUAAUGCUCUCAGAGAAAAAAAUUAUCAUUGACCCUUCAAAAAUUAUUUUCUUAAGCAUGCAUUUGAAAGAUGGACAAUUCAUAGCUCAAACUCACAUUGUUAAGACACUUGCAGAUUUUUCUAAUGAAAAUCUAUCGAAAAAAUAAGCAUAACAAUUUUUCAGCAUAGUAAAUUAUAUGAGUGAAUUUCUUUUAAAUCUUGUACGGUUAACUCAUUCUUUCAAACAGAUGUUAAAAAAGAGCCUCUAAAGUAGUUUUACAUACAGACAAAAGUAAUACAGACAUUUAAGAUAAGAAUGCAGUCACUUCCUACUUUAAAGAUUUCUUUAGAUGAAAAAAAAGAUAUUGUAGACAGAUGUAAACGAUAAAUUUUGAUCGAUAAUUUUUUUAGAAGAAAAAGAUGAAACCAAACAGAUAUGUGAUUACAAAAGUAGUACAUUUAAAGAUUUGAAACUCCAUUACCACUCUAUACUAAAAAAAAAUUUAGCUGUAAUGUAUGAAAUUCAAAAAGUUAAAUUUCACCUCAUUUGAUAAUAUUUUCUUGUGAAAUUAGAUAUGUUAGCUUUUGAUCAGAUGCUUAAUUUCAAGAAUAAGCAGACGUCAAAUGCAUAGUUAUUCAAACUUUUUUAGUGGUUCUUAAAGUAUUCUUUCACUACAACAUAUAUAAAAGGUAGAGAACAUCCUCUCAGACAUGCUAACCAAACCUUCUCUUAAACCUUUUUCGAACUUUUUACAGAUUAUUCUAAUCAUUUUCAUGAUGACCUUUUUACCUUUACAUUCACCUUCUUUUGACCCUAUUUUUCAAAUAGUAACCAAUCUUUUUUUUUAUCCUUAUCUUUAUAUAUAUAGCCAAAAUAUAACUCUUUUGUUUUAGAUCUAGAUUUUCAAUUAAUAUUCUCAAUUCAUAAUCUUCCUUCUGAAAUUUAACAGAUCAUUGUAAGAAAGACAAUUCAAAGACACGUGCAUGACCUUAUUUACAAGAUGCAGACUAUUUUUUUUAGAAAAAGAGCAGAUCAUGGCCUCAACCCAUUGGUUUUUAUCCCCAACAUCUUUUUUUGCAUCUAUUUCAAAUCUCUGAUACAACAAGCUUAUUCAAAGAAGCUUUGGUUCUCUUAUGAUAUUUAUGCUAACUCUACACUAUUGCCAUUGAGUUUAACUUCUUUGAACUCAAUUUUACCACAGUCAUAUUCACUAACAAUGAUUUCUUCUAUGAAAUAGAUAUUCAUAUAGGAAAUUUCUUAAAGUGGUUCAAACCCUUACACAUAUAGUUUUCUCUCACCAAAAAUCUCCAUUAAAAUUAUCAUGUCAUCCUCAUGUUUCACCAUUCUUGUGAAAUUUUUUAUGAUUAUGCCUUCUUUUAACCUUAUUUUGACAUCUAUGUGUGCAAUCCUUACUCUCUGUAUAAAUUUAUUUUUUAGUAUGCACAUAAUUACAAGUUCUUGUUGAAAAGGCUCUGUAAAAUUAACAAGGUUCCAAGCUUUACAGAACUUUCUCAUUUUAAAAAAGAACUAUGAUGGUGGUACCCUUCAGCAUAUAUCCAAGAAUUACUAAAUCACCUGGCACAAUGGACCCUUGAACCAACCUACAAUACUUGGUGGAGUGACUUAUCUCAUAAACUUGUUAAUUUUGAUCUCCAUAUCCCUUCCGAACUAGCUCAACUUUCAAUAAACCAUUAUUGGCAAAAUUUAGAAGAUCUUUCCAAAAUUCGAACAAGAUUUAAAAAUAGGAUCUACAGUUAAUUAUUCCAAAAUUAUGAUUCAGACCCGAUGAUUUUGAACAAUAACUGUUUGUGGGUAGACAAUUGUCUAAUCCUCUAAUAUCUUAAAGAUUUUUUUCGAAUAAAGUUAGAAAUCCACUCAUGGUGCUUCAAACAAAAGACUUUUAUGUUUUAGUCCAAUUAUGUAUAAUUAUGUGUGGUAAUGCUUUUCAAAAGACUCUAAAGUUGAUGUUGAUGCCUCACCAAACUUUACAUCAACUUUAAGUAUACUUUAUAUCUAGUCUAAUUUAUGUUAAGUUUACUUUAUGUCAAAUCUACUUUAUGUCUAUUUUUGAGUCAUGUUCAUUUUUUUAAAGCUACUUUCUUAAAGUAACUUUAUGUCAAGUUAUUGGUAAAGUCAUGACUUUAAUCAUGAUAUGAUCCUAUUAGGUUAUUAUUUUUUUAUUUUUUUAUGUAUAAAUUGUCUACUCUUUCAUCCAAAAGGAACAAUAAAAAAGUUUCCAUUUGUAAGAAAUCUUUCUUAUAAAAUAUUUUUGACAAAAACUUUCUUUUUUUUUUUGUAAUUCUUUCUUUCUUCUUUUACAGUUAAAAUUUCAUAUUCGUAUUUCUUCUAUCUAUUUCAUGGUUUGCAGUGAUACAAGUUAAGUAUGUUUUGUAGUUGUCACAGUAUUAUGGAUUCUUUGCAUCAAAAAUUUUUGUAGAAUUAUCAAAUAGAUCAUUGAUCCACUCUCAGCCAAAAGAAAAAUUAAUGUAUCAAGAUCUUACUGAAAUAAGCUACUGUAUUGAAAGACAUAUUUUUAUAAAAGUCAGGUCACCAGUUUGACGUUAAGGCAAGAAGACAUCAAAGUCUUGAACACCGACUAGAAUAGCUUGAUUAUAUAUCUGAUUUAUAGAUUACUUAUGUUUGAUAUUAUCUUGUUAGGACAAUCGAUCAUUCACUAUGUUGUAGGUAGUUUUGUUAGGACUUCAUCCUUGGAGAGCUUAGAAUUGAACCCGUUAAUUACACACGUCUAGGACAUCUGUACCUUGUUAGAAUGGUAUCAGAACUAGUUUGACAAGAGGGCUAUAAACUAUCGAAAUUAUGAUCAAGGGUUUUUACAGUGUUAUCUGUGGUGAAAUAUUGGCUCUUACUCUGACAUGACCAAAUAGGUUAGCCUCCUGUGUGAUUGAUAUAGUUGAGAGGCUUAUCAAAAUCUAACGUCUGAGAUACUCAUAAAGGCUACUUAGUAUAAUCUAUCUUGACUCUAUAUUCGGAGAGCUCGAGACUCUGCUUGUUAGAAUUAAGGGUGUAAAUGAUACAUUAGUACUCGCAAGUUAUUCGGGUUUGAUUCGAAGAAAACUUGAAUUUGGUUCGAUUAUUAUCGAGUCAAGCUCGAGUUCGAGUAGCUCGACUUAUCGAUCGAGUCGAAUUCGAGUAUUAUUAUAUCCGACUCGAGUAGCUUACGAGCUUAGUCAAGUUUUUAUAUUUAAAUAUAUUUUUAUUAUUUUAAUUAAUAAAAUAUUUCGAGUCUAAGUUCGAGUUCAAGUUCGAGUAUGAAUAAUUGAACUCUUGUCGAGUAUACGAAUCGAGCUUAUUUUUACAUAUUAAUCGAGCCUAAUCGAGUGAGCUCGAGUAGCUCGAAUUCGAUCACGAAUCGAGCUCGAGCUUGAAAAAUAAAAUUUGAUCGAGUUCGAACCGAGUAUCGAGCUUCGAGUUGUGAGUCGAGCUUGAGCACGAGCUUCUCACUAUUUGGCUCGAUUCGACUCGAUUAUAUUCUCGAACUUCUCACUAUUAGACUCGACUUGAUUCGAUUACAUUCCUUAUUAGAAUAGCAAGAUGGGGUGAAAAAAAGGUGACGGGUGAGCUGAUGUGGCAAAGAGGAACUCCGUUUUUUAUUUUUUAAUGAAAGUACUGUUAAUAGUCGAACGGCGUAAGUGCGGAUGCCUUUUUUUUUUGGUUACUCUAAUAUUUCCCCCAUUUU